AACAAACGCUGGCGGCGUGCCUAAUACAUGCAAGUCGAACGGUAAGGCCCUUCGGGGUACACGAGUGGCGAACGGGUGAGUAACACGUGGGUGAUCUGCCCUGCACUUCGGGAUAAGCCUGGGAAACUGGGUCUAAUACCGGAUAGGACUCCUGGCUUCAUGGUUGGGGGUGGAAAGCUUUUGCGGUGUGGGAUGGGCCCGCGGCCUAUCAGGUUGUUGGUGGGGUAAUGGCCUACCAAGGCGACGACGGGUAGCCGGCCUGAGAGGGUGACCGGUCACACUGGGACUGAGAUACGGCCCAGACUCCUACGGGAGGCAGCAGUGGGGAAUAUUGCACAAUGGGCGCAAGCCUGAUGCAGCGACGCCGCGUGAGGGAUGACGGCCUUCGGGUUGUAAACCUCUUUCAGCUAUGACGAAGCGCAAGUGACGGUAGUAGCAGAAGAAGGACCGGCCAACUACGUGCCAGCAGCCGCCGCGG
rnacentral:rRNA from 1 species